AAACCGGCUCUUUUAAGAGCCAACAAAUAUAUGAAAGGAUUGAAC
rnacentral:ncRNA from 1 species